UCAAUGGCAACGUACCAAUUAGUCGCGGAGAAUCGGGAGCACGCCAGAACCGAACCGAUCGCGACGACAAUGGCACUUUCACGCUCACUGUCGCUCGUUCCACUUCCAUUUCCAUUUCCAUCGGAGCACAAAAACGGCAAGUGUCUGGGCCCUGUGCCCUGUGCAUGGGGCGGCACUCGCCACACUCGCCCUGCCUUAUCUAUAAGGUUGACAUCUGGGGGAAUUCUUGGACCUGAUGUGAGCCGCUUGAGCGCCACUGAACGAGUGUUUCAUUCCUCUUCGAUCGGCCGGACGGGAGCAUGGCGCAUCGAUUGGAAGCGCAAGCGAACGGGCAGCGACGCCUCACUAACAUCGUUUUGCAUGCAGCGCACAUGCGGCAGUAUUUCAAUCUUUUGGGGCUCUCUGUUUUCAAUUUCUGAUUUGUAGAUGUGUACAUAUGUAAAUGAGCAUGCCUAUAUGUAUAUGAACAAUCAUGAUUAUUGUUAUUGUCUCCGUUCAUCUCUAUCAAGGUGUGAACGAAUCUGAGGCUGAGGUUCCAGCCUGCGGCAAGGCGACAAAGAGAAAAUGAAAAGAAGUCUAGCUUCGAGAGUCGAAACACUUAAUACCCUAACAGAUCUAAAAUUCCAACGACACAGAUCCAUGAUCCAUGAUCAAUGGCUUCGUAACUGUAGCUUUGGACGCUGAUCGGGUGUAUAUACACAAUUCAUCUGAUCAAAUAUUCUUUCUUCUCUGCUUAUCAAACACACCCUCUAAUAAAUAAUACCCUCUGCAAGGGUACAAUCUGAAAUGAA